rnacentral:rRNA from 1 species
UACGUAGGGGGCAAGCGUUGUCCGGAAUCAUUGGGCGUAAAGCGCGUGUAGGCGGUCCGAUAAGUUCGCUGUGGAAAGUCGGGGGCUUAACCCUCGGAUGCCGGUGAAUACUGUCGGGCUUGAGUACGGAAGAGGCGAGUGGAAUUCCUGGUGUAGCGGUGAAAUGCGCAGAUAUCAGGAGGAACACCAAUUGCGAAGGCAGCUCGCUGGGACGUUACUGACGCUGAGACGCGAAAGCGUGGGGAGCAAACAGG